GCCCCCCCCCAGUCAUCCAGCCAGCCAUCCAGGCUGAAUGAGGGUGAGAGAAGAGCCAGAAAUGCCUCUUGAUCACGUGAUGAAAAUGAAAUUAUUUUUAGCUGAAAUGUCAGAGUGGAAGGAUUUUCCCAGCCCCUGAAGAAUCGGAGUUCCCUCUGCAGACAGCCAAUACCGCUAUAGCUUAGUGAGGUCUUAGGGAGUGCCAAGGGCUAUGCCAAGCCCUUUGAGUGCAUUAUGCUACUUAAUCCUCACAGACACCCUCUUUUUCCCCAGAGAGGCUUGGUAAUCUGCUCAAGGUUAUACAGCAGGCAUGUGUCAGAGUGAGCAUUUAUGUCCAGACAUUUGUGUUCUGGACUUUCACAUUAUACUGAAAACCGUGAACCACCUGCAGGAACCAAAAUGAGGAUGCAAUUAUUGAUUAACUUUUGUCCAGAAUGGAAGUAAUUUUUCUUUCUAAUUUUGCAAAAAAAAAAAAAAAAUGAAGGACAGUCAUUAUCAGAAUAUUGGCA